rnacentral:lncRNA from 1 species
CAGCUGCUUCUCUUUCCUAUGAGGGCAUUAUAGCCCCGGCUUGCCUCCCAGGUGAAACCUGGUCCAUGUGAGACGUGGGUGGGCUUCCAGCUUCCAACAGUCUGGUGCUUGGGCCAGGGACUUGAAGAAUGGCCGAAAAAUGCUGGAGGAAUGCUGCUUGGUGUGGAGCUCCACGGGAAGAAAAAGAAAAGGAUCGUAUUGGGCACCGAAGCAACAGCUCCAGCUUGCCUCCCAGGUGAAACCUGGUCCAUGUGAGCAGUGGUCGGCUUCCAACAAAGCGAAACUUCACCUGUGUGUUAUAGAUUAUUUCCUAUUGUAAGAAGUUGCUUCAAAAUUUUGGUACUUCUUUCCACUGGUCCUGUAUUUAUAGAAACAAGAAGGCAAUGAGUAUACAAACCAACAAACAUCUUCUCAAACUCCUCCAGAAUC